CCAGCUCCAAUAGCGUAUAUUUAAGUUGUUGCAGUUAAAAAGCUCGUAGUUGGAUUUCGGGUGGGUCUUUGCGGUCCGCCUCUGGUGAGUACUGCUAAGGCCCAUCUUUCUGCCGGGGACGGGCUCCUGGGCUUCACUGUCUGGGACUCGGAGUCGGCGAGGUGACUUUGAGUAAAUUAGAGUGUUCAAAGCAAGCCUACGCUCUGAAUAUAUUAGCAUGGAAUCACACGAUAGGACUCUGGCCUAUCUUGUUGGUCUGUAGGACCGGAGUAAUGAUUAAGAGGGACAGUCGGGGGCAUUCGUAUUUCAUUGUCAGAGGUGAAAUUCUUGGAUUUAUGAAAGACGAACUACUGCGAAAGCAUUUGCCAAGGAUGUUUUCA
rnacentral:rRNA from 1 species